CCUACGGGAGGCAGCAGUGGGGAAUUGUUCGCAAUGGGCGCAAGCCUGACGACGCAACGCCGCGUGGAGGAUGAAGGUCUUCGGAUUGUAAACUCCUGUUGACCGGGACGAACUCCUUUGGGGCUAACACCCCCGGAGGGUGACGGUACUGGUUGAGGAAGCCCCGGCUAACUCUGUGCCAGCAGCCGCGGUAAUACAGAGGGGGCGAGCGUUGUUCGGAAUUACUGGGCGUAAAGGGCGCGUAGGCGGCCGACUAAGUCAGACGUGAAAUCCCCAGGCU
rnacentral:rRNA from 1 species